rnacentral:rRNA from 1 species
UAGGGAAUCUUCGGCAAUGGGGGGAACCCUUACCGAGCAACGCCGCGUGAGUGAAGAAGGUUUUCGGAUCGUAAAGCUCUGUUGUUAAGGAAGAACGAGUGUGAGAAUGGAAAGUUCAUGCUGUGACGGUACUUAACCAGAAAGGGACGGCUAACUACGUGCCAGCAGCCGCGGUAAUACGUAGGUCCCGAGCGUUGUCCGGAUUUAUUGGGCGUAAAGCGAGCGCAGGCGGUUAGAAAAGUCUGAAGUGAAAGGCAGUGGCUCAACCAUUGUAGGCUUUGGAAACUGUUUAACUUGAGUGCAGAAGGGGAGAGUGGAAUUCCAUGUGUAACGGUGAAAUGCGUAGAUAUAUGGAGGAACACCGGUGGCGAAAGCGGCUCUCUGGUCUGUAACUGACGCUGAGGCUCGAAAGCGUGGGGAGCGAACAGG